AACGAACGCUGGCGGCAGGCCUAACACAUGCAAGUCGAACGCUCCGCAAGGAGAGUGGCAGACGGGUGAGUAACGCGUGGGAAUCUUCCUAUCGGUACGGAAUAGCUCAGGGAAACUUGGGGUAAUACCGCAUACGCCCUUACGGGGAAAGAUUUAUCGCCGAUAGAUGAGCCCGCGUCUGAUUAGCUAGUUGGUGAGGUAACGGCUCACCAAGGCGACGAUCAGUAGCUGGUCUGAGAGGAUGACCAGCCACACUGGGACUGAGACACGGCCCAGACUCCUACGGGAGGCAGCAGUGGGGAAUAUUGGACAAUGGGCGCAAGCCUGAUCCAGCCAUGCCGCGUGAGUGACGAAGGUCUUCGGAUUGUAAAGCUCUUUUGGCGGGGACGAUAAUGACGGUACCCGCAGAAUAAGCCCCGGCUAACUUCGUGCCAGCCGCCGCAGUAAUAC
rnacentral:rRNA from 1 species